AUGCAGACUUGUUUAGAAAUAAAUAGUUUUAAGUGUUUAAUAAUCUGUUAAGAAAAAUAUUUUUAAGUAUGUAGAAUUAAUUAGUAUAGUAAAAUUUAAGGCUUGGACUAUAGUUCAAAAGUACCGUGAGGGAAAGUUUAAAUAAGAAUGAAAAUUUAAUUAUGGAAAAGAAAAUAUUAAAACUUGUACCUUUUGUAUCAGGGGGAAUUUAAAUUUUCUGGAUAAGUUGGAUAUCCCGAAAAAAGAAUAGCUAAAAAAUUAAGAUUGUCUUAGUCGUAAAUAAGUUUUUAAUAGUUUUUUAGUGGUGAAAUACUAAUCGAGUCUUUUUAUAUCUGGUUGUUUCAGAAAGAAAUUUAAUUUUGUUCGAAUGUGAUUAAAAUUAAUUCGAGUGAAUAAUUGGAGGGAAAAGCUUCUGGUUAAUAAAUUAAGUAUAGGGUAAUAUGAGUAAAUCUAUUUUAACUAAGCUUAGAAGUAGUUAUGUUAGUAAAGUGUUUUAACUAAAAUUUUUAAAUCGUUGCUAUUUAUGUCACCCUUGCUUUGAUAAGUAUGAAAUUUUAACAGUAAAUGUUUUAUUGUUAGUAAUAAUGAUUUUAUUAGUAGAAAUGUCUUUGUGAAUAAAUUGGUUAAGUAAAAUAAAAAUUAAUUUUUGUAAUUAAGUUAGAGAUGCAUUAAAGGAACUCGGCAAACCGAAUUUCUGCCUGUUUAUCAAAAACAUGUCUUUAUGAAUAAUUUAUAUAAAGUCUAGCCUGCCCAGUGAUGUUUAAGUUUAACGGCCGCGGUAGUAUGACCGUGCUAAGGUAGCAU
rnacentral:rRNA from 1 species